rnacentral:rRNA from 1 species
CCUACGGGAGGCAGCAGUGGGGAAUAUUGGACAAUGGGCGAAAGCCUGAUCCAGCAAUGCCGCGUGAGUGAUGAAGGCCUUCGGGUCGUAAAGCUCUUUUACCAGGGAUGGUAAUGACAGUACCUGGAGAAUAAGCUCCGGCUAACUCCGUGCCAGCAGCCGCGGUAAUACGGAGGGAGCUAGCGUUGUUCGGAAUUACUGGGCGUAAAGAGUACGUAGGCGGUUAUUCAAGUCAGAGGUGAAAGCCCGGGGCUCAACCCCGGAACUGCCUUUGAAACUAGAUAACUAGAGUCUUGGAGAGGUUAGUGGAAUUCCGAGUGUAGAGGUGAAAUUCGUAGAUAUUCGGAAGAACACCAGUGGCGAAGGCGACUAACUGGACAAGUACUGACGCUGAGGUACGAAAGCGUGGGGAGCAAACAGGAUUAGAUACCCUGGUAGUCCACGCCGUAAACGAUGAUAACUAGUUGUUCGGUCACUUGGUGACUGAGUGACGCAGCUAACGCAUUAAGUUAUCCGCCUGGGGAGUACGGUCGCAAGAUUAAAACUCAAAGGAAUUGACGG